rnacentral:rRNA from 1 species
CCUACGGGAGGCAGCAGUGGGGAAUCUUGCGCAAUGGGCGAAAGCCUGACGCAGCCAUGCCGCGUGAAUGAUGAAGGUCUUAGGAUUGUAAAAUUCUUUCACCGGGGACGAUAAUGACGGUACCCGGAGAAGAAGCCCCGGCUAACUUCGUGCCAGCAGCCGCGGUAAUACGAAGGGGGCUAGCGUUGCUCGGAAUUACUGGGCGUAAAGGGAGCGUAGGCGGACAUUUAAGUCAGGGGUGAAAUCCCGGGGCUCAACCUCGGAAUUGCCUUUGAUACUGGGUGUCUUGAGUAUGAGAGAGGUGUGUGGAACUCCGAGUGUAGAGGUGAAAUUCGUAGAUAUCCGGAAGAACACCAGUGGCGAAGGCGACACACUGGCU